GCCUAUAUAUAUAUAUAUAUGAAAAAUGCGUUAAAUGGUCAUAUAAGUCAUUUAUUUGCCGACCACUCCAAGUUGCGGUAUGUAUCUAGGUACUACUUUCGGAUCCAUCUGAUGUAAAUAGUUUUGCAAUAUAUGGUUGUAUUUUAUCACCUAUCUUCUUUGUAUCGGCAGUUGACAAAUCAAAUGUUGAGUCAUAAACAGAAGUGGAUCCCAUCCCUUUAACUUAAAUAAUUUGAGUAUACUGCAGACAUUUGUUUACCCAAUCAAACAAUGACAGAUUCGGAAAACAUAGUUCCAUUUAGAGGUUAAUGUAGGCAAACGAAUGUUACAAACAUUGGAUAUGAUAACUAAGUUCAUUCGAAAUUAUAAACUGAUGGUUCAAUUGUCAAACACAUUGAAAGUUUUACUUACUUUACAAACGCAGUGAUUGCCUACUGCAGGACGGACCAGGAUACAAUGACAUUGGAAUUUUAAUAUAUGGCCGUCAUCGGAAUUGCUUCUAGAGUAUUGAGUUGAAAAAUAGUGUAGAAGAUAAAAAGACGGAGUUGGCAUUAAAAUAAUUACUUACAACUCAUAUUUGCAUGUACCGAAUUUAAUAGACAUUUUCAUCAUCUUUGGCAAAUAAAGUUAUUUUCGGCGAAUUUAAAA